rnacentral:lncRNA from 10 species
CAACGGGGAGGGGCGGAAGGCGCCACCCCGCGGAGGAGGCCCCAGUGCCACAGCCCAGGGCCCCCGAGAGCUCUGGGAGCCCGGGGCAAAUGCUAGAAAUUUGCUUAGAACGUCCGGGUCCCACGGAAGGCGCCCUUGCCGCCCUCUCUCGGGUCGUAGCUCCCUGACGCUGGGGCGCAACCCCUUCGCUCCUCCUCCCCGCUGGCCGCGGCCGGGCUUCCCCAGCUCUUGCUGCUUCGGGCCUGUGACUUCUGCAACCCCGGGCUGGGGGCCGCGGGGUCUCAGGGCCGGUGACGCCGCACUGGGAGCCGCCCCAAAGAGGUUACUCACCUCCCUCGUCCCGCACAUUAUUCUGACCCAAGAGCCUCCACCCCACACGGGAUUUUGCGCGUCGUCCACGCCCGGCCGGCGGCCUUUGCUGCUCCCAGCCCUGCGCGGCUUUGGUCCCAGCCUCGGUGGCCCCUGUGCCAAACCGGGGACAGGCGGAAGGGAGUCUCCUAGGGACCCUAAGUAGCCUGGGGCCAACAACCCCUUUCCUCUCUGCUCUCCCCUCAAAACAAGUUUCAGGAUCUUGCAGGCCUCGCGGCGUCGUUCUUCGUUGUGGCGGCCUGUGGCUCUUUGAAAAACACGACGAGGCCUGCAAAAUGCGUUUUUCUUUUUUUCCUUUACGCAUGUAACCACGGUCCUGCAUCGUGAAACGGUACGCGCGUCGGUGGCAAAAGAAAAACAGCAGUGGCUGCAAAGCUAAGGGCCCUCGCUUUCAGAGGAGAGAAUUUUCUUUCUCCAUGCGGGUGGAAAGUGGCCUCUGCGGGUCCAACCCCACUUCUUCUUGGGCCCGUGCGCUCCGGCUGCGCCGCAGGGACCGCGGACAGCUUCGCCAAGGCACUGCCUGCCCGCCCGGCUCCGGGUCCCCGCUCCCACUCCCAGCCGCGUGGCCCAACCUCUCCUGGGCUUCACUGCAAAUCACCCCUUCCUCUCCCGCCUCCUAAGUCUGUCGAGCAGACCUAGGGGCCGGCUACAGUUGGGAGGGCAACGGGAAAGAUCAAGCCACAAUCAUUCCGAAUUAUCGCCCCAGACACCUCCCUAGACUCUGGGGAACGAACGCGUGCUGAGCCUCCCCGCCGCUUUGGAGACGGGGCUAGAUUUUCGUUGCCUCCGGCUCUCGACAGGUGCAAAACAAUGAAUUCCAAGCCUCGGAAGCAAAGAAGCUUAGGAUCCGACGGUGGCCGCAAGAUCUCAUCAUGGAUCUGACCCCUGCUCAGCGCGCGCCAUUUCGUCGUUGCCAAACGAAAUCAAGCCCCGCGUGCGCUCCAGGGGCGAAGGACUCUGGACUCACCCCGACCACCGGGAGAGCUGGCCCCUACCCACCUCGGGACCUCACAGCACGCCCUCAGGCCGUGUCGAAAGGAAGGACGGCAAAGGUCCCUUACUGAACCUUUUAAGAGAGCCUGCGCCUGGCAGUUGUCGAUUGCGGACCCAGGCCCGCGCGCCCUCGGACGCGCUGGCACGAGCAGCAGAACUAGAGGAAAGCGAGUGAUCCAGCCUGGGCGCUCCCACCUCCGGGAACGUCUCCGAGAAGGCGCAGCGCGUCGUGGCCAGGACACAAUGUUCUGUGUCCUCCGGAGGACACAGCCAGAAGACACUGCCUUGGAAACAGGGAGUCCAGGACCUCACCAGAUGCGGAACCUGCCAGAGCCUUGAUCUUGGACUUCCCAGUCUCCAGAACCAUGUGUAUGAGAAGGGCUGAAUAUCACCUGUGAGCCUGCCCCUGCUCCCAAGAACACCCUUUGGACACCUGUGGGCUCUGCAAGGUUGGUGUAACCCCUACAGAUGAGGAAACCAGAGACAGAGAAGUGAAGUAACUCAUGCAGGUGACGGCAGAGGGCAGAGUCAGGACUUGAACCUGGAGAGCCUGGCUCUAAAGCCCAAGCUGGAAUCUCGAUACUCUACACCUCGAUAAGUUUUUGGGAAAUGACUGACUAAACAGAUGAACGCGUUUGCCCCCCCGCCGCCCCAGAGCCCCCUUAAAGCCUACAUGUGGCAGUUUGGGCCCAUUUCCUUGGCUUCCCUCCCUGGAGGGGCACCCACUGCCAGUGUCCCUGGUGAGUGUUUGCCUGUGGGGGUACAAGUGAGGGUUCAGCAAAGGUGACCUGGUGUGAGGGGGGGGUGCCCCAGGGGGUGCAGAGGAGGGCCUCAUGAGGCAGAUUCAGAAUGAAGGUUCUGGCCCCCAGUGGAACCGUGCAUGGGCAAGGGGUCCUCAGGGCCAUUGGCCCAUAAUUGUCAGACGGGGAAACUGAGGCCCAGAGAGAGGAAGGGACUUGUCCUUAGUUACACAGAGUGUCUGGAUCACAGCUCUUAGGUCUCAGCUUCCCCAUUUGUCACACAGGGAGAAUAAAUCCCCCUUGUCCUGCCUGGGGGUAGACCCCAGGGGGCCCCUGUGCCCUCUCACACCUUCCAUUCCAGCUUCUAGAAUUCCACCAUCCAUGCACCAGCCCUGAGGGUAGGCGUUGCCCUCUUCUCACCUCCUGCUCACGCCUCUACUGCAGGAUGGGAACCAAAUGCCUCUCCACCCUUUUCCCACACCCCUUCUCUCCACAGUGAACUGAGGGGAGUUUCUGAUCCCUUAGCUCAAAGUCAGAGAAACUGAGAGGGGAGGGCUGGGUGGGAGCCGUGGGAAUGUCAUGCACAAGCAGUCGGACUCUCCAGGGGUCUGGAUCUCUCCCUUGCUGCCUUGAAGGCCCCUGCACAGGCUGUGGCACUGGCUGAGUACAGGUGCCUGAAGGCAGAGGCAUGGAUGGGAUGCUUCAUUCUCAGCCUGUUUUUGCCAGUGAAGACAAAAGGGAAGUCAUCUUCCGUUGGUCUAUGGGGACCCUGAGGUAGUAGGAGCUCGGUGAUAAUUCUAGGGACCACCCUGGGUUGUCAGGUGGGGGAGACAGAGAAGCCCACAUAGGAGGCACCAAAUGCAACUCACUCGUGCCCUUUUACUCAUGAGAGAACACGGAUCCAGAGAUGUCAAGUGACUCAGACACAGUCUCACAGCACACAGGCGGCAGAGGCAGGUAGGGGACUGGGCUUCCCUGGCAGCAGUCCCCAAGCCUGCCUGAGAGGCACAUCAGAAUCGCUUUAGGGGAUUUGCAAAACCACACCUGCCCAGGCCCAAACCCUAGAGAUUCUGAUUCCGCAGUCUGAGGUAGGAAUGGAGAAUCCUCCACAGCCUGAGGUAGGAACUGGGAAUCCAGUGUUUAAAACUCUCUAGGGGCGGUGAUUUCAGAAAACCUGCUGGCUCCAUCACACUUUGCUCAGGGACUGAGAUGGGAUGGCAUUUGGAAGACACAGCUGAAAUUUAGCAUCAUAUUCCAUGGCGAUUUUCCACCAGUGGAAAUCACAGGUGUUCUCUGGUAUCACAGCGGGGUCAGGGAUGACCUGAAAUAUUGUUCAUGCUCAUCACAACUGCAUGGCCCACCGCGGGGUCUUGUCACUCAGUGAGUUCUUGAAGAGGCACAGACAAAUGGAGUUCAACAAAUGGAAAACAACUGCCUUUAAUUAGCUCCGAGGACUACAAAGGGAACAACGUUAUAAUAGCAGCAACUCCAAGGAAGCAGCCACAGCUCUCAGCUCUCAGACCUGGGGCUGCCGCUCAUCAUCAGCUACAGCUAGGUUUGAUGGGAGUGCCCCCAUUUCAGGGGACAGCAGGCCCCCUUCACUCCCCGACUCAGUCCCCAUCUGCAGCAGCACAGCCUUCCUUGGCCUCACCAGGGAAGAAGAACAGGCCCCGCUCUCAGACAAGCCUUCCCAGAAGCCUGAGGACUCAAACACCCAAAUGUGUCUGGGUCCCUGCCCCGAGCCGGCCACCCAGGCAGCAGCCCUGAAUCACUCGGUCAGCCAGCGGCAGGGCAGGCCAAUGGGCUGGAGGGUAGGCAGGCAGGCAGACCCACCUCUGCAUCUCUGCUGACUGCCUCGGCUGAGGAAAGGCAGCACCAGCCCCCAACCCUGAAGUUCUAGAUCUCAUGCAGCCUCUCUGUUCUGGAACCAUCCAGAGGCACUGCCCUUAUACAUGGUCCACCCCCAGGCUCAGACAAUGAGAAUUCCACAAGCAGAGGGGACUCUAUUUGGGGCACAGAGAGGUUAAGUAACUCCCCUCCUAAGGUCUCUCAGCAAGGAAGCCACUGAGCCGUGGGACUUGAGCUCAGGGACUCUUGAUCCCCAGUCUCAGGUGUCACAGCCCCAUCUGGGCUCCUGCUAGGGAGGAGGAAGGCAGCAGGGGGUGUCUGAGGCCAGGGUGCAUCAGCCCUAAAUGCCAGACAGAGGCAGGAGAAGUCUCCCCAUGAGUCCCAGCCCCAUUAGAGGCUCCAGGUCGGGGAUCCCAGACCCCCUAUCCUUGCUGGGAGACACAACCCAGAACUCUGCAUCCCUGCAGCCACCAAAAAAGGCAAAAGCUGCCCAGAAACACUUUCUCCUCUUCCGUGGCCAAAUCCACGAACUUUCUCGAGGUCUGUCCCCCUGCCCCGUGCAGGUCCAGCUUCAGUGCAGCCCAGCUCUGUGCAGUUUUCCACAAAAGCCUGUGGCUUCCUUCUCCUCCCUCUGCUUCUGAUACCCCAGGAGUUACACACAAAAUGUUGGCGGUGGUCUCCAGGAAGACCCCUGCAUCCCACAGCUCUCCCCAGAAGUUGCCAGCAGUGACCUCCUGAGCCCAGGUGGGGAGUCCCAGGCAGGACAGGGGCUGGGGCUGCAGGCCCUGGGGCCCUGUUAGUGAAGCAGCAAGCCGAGGGUCCCUGAGAGUUUCCCUUGGCCCCUCUGAGGGCUGCCCUUUGAGGUCUUGAGGUCUUGGAGUAUCCAUCGCCCCCACGGCUUACUGUCCCCACCAGCGGAGGAUGAAAGUGCCACAGCGAUGUUCCACGCCAAGAGACCACAGAGACCACCAACCCCUCUUCCCACCUCAGGCUUUCAGAGGCCAGCGGAUUUAGGCGGACAGGCUGUGCGCUUGAGGGCAGCCAGGGCGGUCAGUGGAGGGACGUGGUCCGGGGCCUGGCCACAGCUCCCCACCCAGGGCCCUGGGCUAUUGUUACUCACCGCGGAUGAAGGUCGGCGAGUAGGUCGGGAAGGAGUCGAAGAUGCUGUUCGAUGCCAUGCCCCGCUCUGAAGAAG